rnacentral:rRNA from 1 species
GGGUCAGUGGGUUGGUCGUGCCACCGGUACGUACUGGUCUCACUGAUUCCUCCUUCCUGAAGAACCGUAAUGCCAUUAAUUUGGUGUUGCGGGGAAACAGGACUGUUACUUUGAAAAAAUUAGAGUGUUUAAAGCAAGCUAACGCUUGAAUACAUUAGCAUGGAAUAGUGAAAUAGGACGAUCGAUCCUAUUUUGUUGGUUUCUAGGAUUGACGUA